AGAGUUUGAUCCUGGCUCAGAACGAACGUUCGCGGCGCGCUUAACACAUGUAAGUCGAACGAGAAAGUCCUUUGGGGCGAGUAAAGUGGCGCAUGGGUGAGUAACACGUGGGUAUUUAUUUAUUGGUGGGGGAUAACAUUCCGAAAGGGGUGUUAAUACCGUAUAAGUUUAGUAAUGGGGAAAGGUGGUGUAAGUUAUUGCCAGUAGAUGAGCCCGCGUCCCAUCAGCUAGUUGGUAGGGUAAAGGUUUACCAAGGCAUUGAUGGGUAGCUGGUCUGAGAGGAUGAUCAGCCACACUGGAAUUGAGAUAUGGUCCAGACUCCUACGGGAGGUAGCAGUGGGGAAUAUUGCGUAAUGGGCGAAAGCCUGACGCAGCGACGCCGCGUGGGUGAUGAAGGUUUUCGGAUUGUAAAGCCCUGUGGGAGAGGAAAGAAUAACUUGUGGGAAUAAUAUCCCAUAAGUUUGAUGGUAUUUCUCCAGAAAGCACCGGCUAACUCCGUGCCAGUAGUUGUGGUAAUACGGAGGGUGCGAACGUUGUUCGGAAUCACUGGGCGUAAAGUGCAUGUGGGCGGCACGGCAAGUCAGAUGUGAAAGUUUUUGGUUUAACCGGGGAAGUGUAUUUGAAACUGCCGAGCUAGAGUACGGGAGAGGGUUGUAGAAUUUUUGGUGUAGAGGUGAAAUUUGUAGAUAUUGGGAGGAAUAUUAGUGGUGAAGGUGGUAAUCUGGAUCGAUACUGACGCUGAGAUGCGAAAGCGUGGGGAGUAAAUAGGAUUAGAUAUCCUGGUAGUCCACGCCGUAAACGAUGAACACUAGGUGCAGCGGGUAUUGAUUCCUGCUGUGCCGUAGCUAAUGCAUUAAGUGUUCCGCCUGGGGAGUACGGCCGCAAGGCUAAAACUCAAAGGAAUUGACGGGGGCUCGUACAAGCGGUGGAGCAUGUGGUUUAAUUCGAAGCAACGUGUAGAAUUUUAUUUGGGUUGGAAGUUAUUGGAAUAUUUUAGAAAAGGAGUAGUGUUUUUCGGGGAGCCGGUGUUUAGGUGUUGUAUGGUUGUCGUCAGCUCGUGUUGUGAGAUGUUGGGUUAAGUUUUGUAAUGAGUGUAAUUUUUGUUGUUAGUUGUUAUUAUUAAGUUGGGUAUUUUAGUGAGACUGCCGGUGUUAAACCGGAGGAAGGUGGGGAUGACGUCAAGUCCUCAUGGCCCUUAUGUUUAGGGCUACACAUUUUAUAAUGGCGUAUAUAAAGAGUAGUUAAUUUGUGAGAGUAUGUGAAUUUUAAAAAGUAUGUUUCAGUAUGGAUUGGAGUUUGUAAUUUGACUCCAUGAAGGCGGAAUUGUUAGUAAUUGUGGAUUAGCACGCCACGGUGAAUACGUUCCCGGGCCUUGUACACACCGCCCGUCACACCAUGGGAGUUGACUACUCCAGAAGUUGUUGAG
rnacentral:rRNA from 1 species